rnacentral:rRNA from 1 species
GACGAACGCUGGCGGCGUGCUUAACACAUGCAAGUCGAACGGAAAGGCCCUGCCUAUGUGGGGUGCUCGAGUGGCGAACGGGUGAGUAACACGUGAGUACCCUGCCCCUGACUUAGGGAUAACUUCAGGAAACUGGGGCUAAUACCGGAUAGGAGCUACCGCUGAAUGGUGGGGGCUGGAAAGUUUCGGUGGUUGGGGAUGGACUCGCGGCUCAUCAGCUUGAUGGUGGGGUAGUGGCUUACCAAGGAUUUGACGGGUAGCCGGCCUGCGUGGGUGACCGGCCACAUUGGGACGGAGAGACGGCCCAGACUCCUACGGGAGGCAGGAGUGGGGAGGGUAGCACAGAGAACGGAAGCCUGAUGGAGCAAGGCCGCGUGCGGGAGGGCGGCCUUCGUGAUGUAAGCCGCGUUCUCCUGGGACGAAGCGUAAGGGACGGAAAUGGAGAAAGAAGCACCGGCUAACUACGU